GCUGAGCGUUUCAUAAGAGUCCGGAGAGAUUGCACAGAAAGAAUUUAAAAAAAACCCAGUGACUGUGUCACAAGGAAAAGCAUUCACCGCGUGACCUUUGUUUACGAAGAGAAUGUCGCAUUAUUACAUCUAAGACAUCUUUCGCUUCCCCUAGCUGAAGCAUUAGGUAACUUGGCUGGGUGAGACAGAGGCGACUGGGUGAACUGGGGAAGCAGCACAAAACGGAAGCGGCCACUACCAGAGAGAAGUAUCUGGAAGCUAAGUGUUGGGGAUGUACACGCUGCCGGCUUGUGAUGUCUGCUUUCAGGAGAACAACAAAGCUACUGUUCCGUUCAUUUAUAUUAACGAGGAAUCUUAUAUAUACUGAAUAUGUACGUGAAACGCUCUUCUGAAAGGCACGCCCAAGCAUGUUAGAAGCAACGCUGUUAUAUAGCAAAACAAGUUUUACACAGAUAUCACCUGGUUCACGGUACUUCCAGUUGGACUGGGUGUAAGAACAGUGCCAUAGGUUACAGAUUAAUCCAUCCAUCCAUCCUCCACCUACUUAUCUGUUCCAGUACAAAGGAGGAGGAAACUGGUACAACAUGGGGAAAACAUCCAAACUGCACACACCUGCAGCAGUAGAGUUUCUGAUCCUCAGUUUCCCAUAAAUUAAAUGCUCUGAAAAUGCAAAGCGGAGCGUGGAUGAGCACUGCAGUAACCUAACGAGGGCUGCCAGGAACAGGCAAGACCGAAGCACAUCUGAAACACAAAGAACCUUUCACUUCAGAAAAUGGAAAAGAAAAUCCUCAAAGAAACUAAAUUCUGUUGUUGGUGGGUAAACAGAUUCCUAUUUAAACAAACUUUGCUAUCUU